GGCUCGUUGGUCUAGGGGUAUGAUUCUUGCUUUGGGCGCGAGAAGUCCAGGGUUCAACUCUCAGAUGAGCCU